GACAGUUCUUACAGAAACGUGUCAGAAAGUGUUGAAUCUUUCCCUUUGUAUCCAUUGUAUAGAUGUAACUACCUAUAAAUACGUUAUUCAGAUAGCAGAGAUAAUGCAUCCUAAAGGAAUACAAAUACAGAUACAAAAGCUGCCAUCACUUUAGACUCUACAGCUGUUGGGCUCCAAUGAUGGAGAAACAGAAAGGAAUAUUGGCAAGUGGCCUGUGUGUGCAUGUACAGGUGUGGUGGAGAGGGAGGCCACCUGCAUUCACCACAGGGUGUGGGAAUGUCCAGCACAGGCUGACCUCACUGUGUCCCUCGCUGCUGGAGGAAAAACUUGUUAUCUGAGAAAUCUCUGCUAAUUAUGCCUGCUGGUCCCACACACAAACACGAAGACACGAAGA